rnacentral:ncRNA from 2 species
CCCGCUGAGUUUAAGCAUAUCAAUAA